UACGUAGGGUGCAAGCGUUGUCCGGAAUUAUUGGGCGUAAAGAGCUCGUAGGCGGUCUGUCGCGUCGGAUGUGAAAAUCCAGGGCUCAGCCCUGGACCUGCAUUCGAUACGGGCAGACUAGAGUUCGGUAGGGGAGACUGGAAUUCCUGGUGUAGCGGUGAAAUGCGCAGAUAUCAGGAGGAACACCGGUGGCGAAGGCGGGUCUCUGGGCCGAAACUGACGCUGAGGAGCGAAAGCGUGGGGAGCAAACAGG
rnacentral:rRNA from 1 species